rnacentral:tRNA from 1 species
GGGUGUAGCUCAAUGGUAGAGUACAUGUCUGUCAUGCUUGAUGUCCUGAGUUUGAUUUUUAGCACAACCA